UAGUUAUCAAGAAAGGUGGAGGGAUUAGACCCUGUGAAGCCUUAGCAACCCUUUGUAUUGUUCAAAGAAGGUGCUACAUUCUAUCUCAUUUGAGAAUAGAUAACCG
rnacentral:ncRNA from 2 species